CCUGGCCUCAAAAACAAAGAAAGACCGGGCACGGUGCCUCAACGCCUGUAAUCCCAACACUUUGGGAGGCUAAGGCAGGUGGAUCACCUGAGGUUAGUAGUUCAAAACUAGCCUGACCA